UAUGUUCAUGAGCCCUCUGCUUCUGAAGGUCUGUAGAUAGAGAUGAGGAAUCUGUAUUCCCACAUCUAAGAUGUUUUGGAGGAGUUUUGACCUCUCUAGUUCUGGCUCGUGUUCUUCCUGCUGUGGAAAUGGAUGAAUGACCCAGGUUAGCUGGGAAGCCUUAACCUAAUCACUGUUUUUAUGUAAUAAACAAGCUUUACCUUUUAAAAAAAGCUGUCACUCUGUAGUGAUUUCGUGUUUCCAUGGCAAUGGGAGUGACAGCCACAGCAGAAGGAAAUAUUAGUGGCAUUUUCCAGAUUCUAAAAUGGGGCUGAAUCUAGCACAGAGAAUAGGUUUGAAUAGGCUGAAGCCUUUAUUGUCUUUGGUAAGAGGAUAGAAAAUCCGUGAUGCCUAACUAUGAGAAAUCAAAACCUCAAGUUAUCCUUAACUUCUAAUUUUGUUCAGAGAGGCUUAUCUUAAAAGAAUGUCUCUUCAGAACAUCAAAACACACUUGGAAGAGCUCCAGGGCCUUUCAAGAAGGGAGACUUCCCAGCUGUUGCUACUUUCCUGGUGAACCAGAAUGUCCAGACCACGUGCCUCUUGUUGCAGAGGUUUACUCAAGAGAUAGCUGCUUCCUUCAGUGUGACAUGUUUAAAAAUGCAAUGCCAAAUUUUCAAUUCACUUUUAGCCCAGCAGAAAGUAAUCCAGGCUGUGUAGGUUUAAACCUCGAAGCAUGCCAGAGUUGUUUGAGCAGCUAUGUAAGAAGCUCUGCGGUGUGUUAGUCAUGGUGCCAAGCCCCGUCAUGGGCUUUUUCAUCACUUCUUUUUUUUUUCCCCCCCUUUUGCUUGUUUCACAGACAGAGGGGGAAGGGGACAAACAACAGGCAACUUCAAAUGAUACAUUUAACAGACUUUAAGAAUAAACCAGAUGUGUGCAUUUCUGGUAACAUUCAGGUAGUGCAUUUUUAGCUGUUAAGGCAACUGCCCAUAAUUUAUAGCUACUGAAGAGGCACAGUAGAGCCAUAUAAUUUCACUGCCUGCUGUGUGGAAAGUGUAAAAAUACCUGUAGAGGGACAAGUGUUUCGAACACUUAAAAUCGGGUAGCGCCAUUGUGCUGACUUAAAUCAGAGCUAUUUCCCAAGUGCAAGUGUAACCACUUUAUGGAACUGCAGUUCAGUAAAUCUGUAAUUUUAAGCUUGCCAAACUAGUCGCAGAAGAACAAAGAUCAGGUUUGUUAUAAAUAAACAAGCAUAAUGAAGCAAUGCUGAGUGUGAGAAAAUGGAACAGUUGAAGCUUUUAGUUUUCUGUGCUAGGGAGAGGACAAAAGUCUUUCCUGUUCUCUGCAGUUUCUAGCUCUUUAGUAAUCUACUUAAACCGUCUUUAUAGAAUUGUCACUGAUUUUUCUUCUAACAGGCUGGGAAGUGAGAGUGGAGUUGCCAUCCAUUUUCAGUAGUUGUUGUCUCCAGGUGACAGUCGUGGCCACUUCUAAAACAAGUUAGAGGUUUACAUUAACCUGAGAAAUGCCUGUUUUUUUCUGAGCAGCCAUAUCCUGUAUGUUCUCCUUAAGGGACUUACUGCCCAAGAGGAAUUCUUGAACGUGGGGGUUUGCAUCUUAAAUCCAAGCAUUAUAUCUGCUCUUUACCUCCAAUCCCUGGAUUGGCUUCCUAUGUAAUGUUAAGAGGCAGAUGUUUUAAUCCCUUUACUACUGGGAGGGGCUAUAGGGAGAGAAAGCAUGCUUGUGAGAGCUCCAUAGUGCUAUUUUUAGUUGCUUAGUUUUCCUUCUGUUGUAGAAAUAAUUACUAAUGUCUUUUUGUUCUUGUUCAGAGAGCUUGCUUGCCCUCUUGCCCGCUCCUACCCCGCCGAGAGAAUGGAGUAGUUUAAGCUUCCUAAAACAUUAAUGUCUUGCUCAAAAGUUGGCAAAACAUAAUACAAGAUCAAUUGUAAGUAGCCCUUGCUAAAGGGCUAAAGGAACUUCUUUCACGAAGUGAUUAAACUUGAGUGAUAAUUUUCUUCCACAAGUUGAUGAGAGUUAGACUGAAGGAUCUUGUUCUUGUCAAUGUGUAAUAUUAGCUUGCAUUGUUAUCUGUGAUAGGUCUUAGAUAAUGUGUAAGUUAAGGGAGAAGGAAGACUAGCUUUCAGUAUUCUAGGAAACCUUCAGAGAUGCUUUCAAGUAUUAACUUGUUUACCCUGUUGGAUUAGGAAUGUGAGUCUUCCUUGAGGAUGCUUGCUUAAAUUCUUGGAUCCAUGGCUGUUCAUUCUUCCCUUUUUCUUUGUCUCCCUCACUUCCUUUAAGGCCAUUCUCAUUCUUCUACAUUUUCUUGCAUUUAAUUCACUAUAUUCAAUGACCAGAACAUUUGCUCUAGUUUAAUUUUGGUGAGAAUGCAGCUAGAUAGAAACCAGACAUUGUCUUCUCUGGUGCAAGCUGGUUUAUGCUGCAUCUAUUCAGAGUGGUGACCAUUUAAUACUUGCCUUUUUUUUUCUUUACUGUUUUUACAGAUUCCAUUCAAAGUCGCUGAAACUAUAAUGCUAGAGAAUGUUAUUGCUUGCUUCUCCCCCACUCCUGCCCUAGUUUUACUUUGUGAGUUUAAAAGCAUUUAUAAAAUACCUUUUUUUUUUUUAAAAAAAAAAAAAAAAAAGUUACUUUAACUGUAAGCUUAAAAAGUGUUUGAAGAAUAGCAGUUAAACAGGUGGAUCUGGGAAGGUUUCAUACCUGGAAUUCUUGGAUAUUCUUUCAACUGAAUAAAUUUCAAAUAGGUAACUUUUCUUCAAGUGGAUUGCUUGAAAGUUUGUUAGCAAAGUUGCAUUUAAGUCCACUUCAAGAACAUAUGGAAGUCCAUUCUGUUGUAAAAUGUGCCGAUAUAUGUAUGAUUUUUUUUGGUGAAACUCGACUUUUAUUUCCAGAAUAGGUGAGUCAAUCACAGGCGGUAGAAUAUGGCUGGACAAAUAUCAGAAUCUGAUCAGAUCAAGCAGUUCAAGGAGUUUCUUGGAACGUACAAUAAACUUACAGAAAACUGCUUCCUGGAUUGCAUAAAGGAUUUCACUACCAGAGAGGUUAAACCAGAAGAGUAUACACACAGUGAGGGGAUCUUCCUGAUCUCACUUGAGUAUUGGCUGCUUAUUGCAAUUCUGUGUAUUUCAUUCUCUGAGCUAUCAGUGGAGGUUCUUGUGCCUCAGCUUCUGAUGGGUGGUAUCUUUGUGGACAUGGAAGUUGCCCACCUACAGCCUGCAUCUCGCUCUUUGAAGAUCACGUGCUCAGAUCACUGCCUACAGAAGUAUUUAAAAAUGACACAAAGGAUCUCCAUGAGAUUUCAGGAAUACCAUAUUCAGCAGAACGAAGCUCUGGCAGCUAAAGCAGGACUGCUUGGCCAACCUCGUUAGACAAGAGCACUCUGUUCAGACUUUACAAGCAGUGCCAGUGCUCACUGGGCAAGAACACAUUUUGGAUUUUCUACUGUCAGGAUUUAUGUCCAACAACUCGAAGAGAGUUCUAGAUGCUGUUCAGACAGUGGAAACCAUGAAGGGUUAAACUGGUGGACUGGCAAUGGAGUCUGUUUCUGAGGUGCUUUUCACUCUCCAAUGGAGUUAUAUUGACACAAACUUUUCCAGGGCCCACAGACUGCUUGAAACCUUACCCAUUCCUAAGGGAACUAAUUUUCAGAAAAUGAAUGAGCAUCAAGAGAGUUUUAAGCUGCACAUGCACGUAAGUGCCUUGCUAAAAAGAAAAAAAAAUAAAGGCACACUUGCACGAUAUAACAAAGUAUUCUGUACAAAUUCCACAUUUUACCGCUUCUUACAUAACUGGCAUAGCUGGCGGGAUCAUGGCAAAUUAGGUCAAACUGUACCCAGAUGAGGGAUUAGAGGAGGAGGAGUUUAGAAAUAGCUGAAGACACAGACAGGGCUGGAAUGGAAAUAUUGGGUUACUCACAAGAGCUGGGAAAGAGAGACAUGGCCAGUAAUGCAGAACUCACCAACAAGGCUCGGAGGGAGAAUUAAGCAAACGUGCUACCGAUAAACAAUCUGCAGGUUUUCACAACUGUAAUGGAGCUCUAGUGCCGAUUUUCUUUGCUGGCAAUGAUGAAACCUAGAGAAAGUAAUCGUUGCAAUGUUUCUUUGUUUUUUUCAUAAUGAGUGAGCUGUACUGGUGAGUUAAAGCCAAGUCUUAAAACAAACACAGACAUUUUUUCAUCUCUGAAAACUAUUGGUAUAGGAUAAACAACAGCAUAAGGGUACUAACUAAUAUAAAUAGCAGGUAGUUGCAGACCUGAAGCAGAACCAACCAGCGCAGCCCUGCUCUGGAGCAGAAAGUAGGAUUUCUCUGAAAAUGGGAAGAGCAGGAAUAGCAACGUAAAUAGCACUGAGAUAAUUCAAAACAAAGAGGAAACCAGGAAAGUCUUAUUCUUAGGAAGGGUGAGAAACAGUCUGCUUUCACAAUUAAGAUUGCCUUAAUCUUUUCAGUUUUCUUUAACUGAAAACACAGUAUUUGUCAUUGGGCUGUGACUAAUCACAAAAUCCACCAUCCACUGCAUUAAGGCAAGCACAUAGUCAGACCAAUAACACUGUGACAGGAAAAACUGAAUUUAUAUAUUCCUCCAAAGCAAUGGAUGACACUAAUAAAUGCUUGUGGAACUCACAGAUUUCCAAAACAAACAAACAAAGCCCAAUAAAUACAAGUUACUUAGUGUUAACUAAUAAAGUAAUUUUAAACUCUACCAGAGAUCUCUUUAAAAAAAUCAUCCUCUUUGAUAGAAGGUAAUAUGGGAGAAUGGCAGAUUUUCUCAAAAUCUGAGGGCAAUAGCUUGAUAAAUAGUGUGAGCUAAUUAUAAAAUGUCUUUUUCCUAAGCCCUGGAAUCACAGUGACUCAGUCUCUGGCAGCACCCCCAUUGGUUCCUCUCUUUAUUAUGUUUCUUACAUCUCCAGAGGUAGUCUUUGUCCUGCACACUGUAGCAAAUAAUAAAAUCCAAAGUACAGAGAAGUAAAAAAUAACCAAGAUUUUACUGCAAAACACAAGGGCACAGUGGAGUAAACAGCUCAACAUACUUUUGUUAACACAUUCAUCUUUUGUUUCAGCUUGUAAAUCUUUCCUCUGGCUCCUCUGUCAGAUUUGUUUCAAGCCAUCAAACCAAACGUGCUCUUUUCUUAAAAAGAAAACAACAGCAUUUUUUAGACUUAGUGCUCUAAAAGAAUUCCAGUAAAUGCUGCCCAGGAAACCCAUUUGGCUGCCUCAGCUAUCCAAGAAUAUUUUUAAUGCGACGACGAAGAACAUUUUAUGACUAUUUGUUUUUUUAAUGUGAAGUUCCAUCUGGUUGACAAACCUAUCUGGAGAGAGAAGGCUCCCCAUCAAAGCCAUCCUGGAUAAUUUUGGUAGCCACUGUUGUGUGGCUCUCUACAUGUAAAAUAAGAAUAUGCAUCCAUUUAAAAAAUUUCUGCCUAUCUAAUGCCUUAAAAAAAAAACAGAUUCAAGUGGAACUUGUGCAAAAUACCACCAGAAAGGUGAUUUAAACACCUUUUCUCUUCCACUACUGUCCUUCAAAGGUCUGCUGCUCCCUGUGAAGGCCAGAUACAUUAUGCUUCAUGAAGAUACAUGCUUUUAUUUGCCCUUGUUACGCUUUUCUUUCACUGGUAAUUACCACUGCAGAUCUGUUUAACCUCUGUUGAAAUAAUGGCUUUUUACUGUUGUUCUGACAUCUUUGCUUCUCCUGCCUGAUCUGUUAAAACUGAUGAAACGAGGAGGUUUCUCAAACACAGUCUGAUGGAGGAGCCAGAAACAAGUGCAGAUUUAACUGGGUGUUGCUAAACUUGCACAUUAGAGAGAAAAUAAAAACUCAUCAGCAUACAUGUAGCUGUAUGCUUUGUGGAAAGUAAAAGAUAAAACAGGUAGGAAAACAAAUCUUUUCUUACCUUAUGUCCUUGCAUGCAUAUGUUUUGUUUUUUCCAACUUUCAGAUGUAUGCUAAUCCCAAAAUAAUAAAUCUGCCAGAAGUCUGACAGUUCUUUGUAUCAGUUGCAGGAGGUGGGGGAAGAGUCUGAAUUCUUAAAGCCCUGUUCUUUUUAACAGUUCUAACAGCGUUUGAUCCCAUAAUCUUCAUAUUAUAUAUAUAUAUAUAUAUAUAUUUUUUUUUUUACCUCCUAAGCUUGAAAUAACAUCAUUUUGAGAAAAACUGUAAAAGAUUAGAAGGCAGGAGAACAGUGUGAAGCCUGCCAAGAGUGCUUUAGUUUUGACUGCUCUUACAGACAUGAUACCUAAUCUCUUCUUAAAAAAAAAAAAUCCCAGUUCAGUGUAAUCAUAAUUUCUGCGUCCUCAACAGCAGAAACUUUCAUUCAAGGCAUUGGAAGACACUUUGGAAUUUAUUUGAUAUCAACAAAGCAGAAGUAAGGAGGAUUAUAGUUAGAAAUAAAAGAUCUAUUAGGGUCUCUUGUUGAUUUCACCCUUAGAACAGGAUAGUCCCGUACGACAUAAUAAAUCUUCUUUUCCCUGUGGUAUUUUUAAAUGUCCUAAGAAACUACUUUAAACAUCUACUGAAUCAUGUGGCUAACUGAUACGCUUCUUGCCAGAAAGAUAAAACUAGGAAAUCAGUCACAUGCUCGAAGCUUUGCCGGAGGCUUGGCAGAAAGUCCACCUUUUCUUGCAGGUUUAGUGUUCUGCCAGAAUAAUGAUGUUAGGGGUGUGGGUGGGUGUCUGAUGAGUGCUAGUGCAAAGUAAAGCAGGUGGAAAGAGGAGGUAGGAAGCAAGUUCUCUGUCAGGGAGCUGUUAGAACGGGUUUCCAUGUUUCAGCAGGCAGUGUAGAUGUGAAAGCCUGUCUUGAAGUAGGGGCAGCGCAGAGCCCGGCCACCAUCUCUGCCUGGGGAGUGUGUGUAUGUGCCUGGUUAAGAUCUGACCCAGUUUGCAGGCAGAGGUUAACGACCUGCAGAAGAUGGAAUGAAUCCUAUUAUUUCACUGAAUUUAAAAUUUACUUCUGCGACUACUAAACGUGGAAGAUAAUCUGAUAAAAUGUGACCCGUGUUAUUUCCUUUUAAAUGAGUAUUGCUUUUUAUUCAUAGCUAUCAUAAGAUUAACAGUAGAAGUUUGCUCUGAAAAAAGUCUUUACAACAAUUUAUGGAGAUUAAUCUUCCUAUUUAUGUAAGUCCAGACAUUUACAAGAACAAUCACUUAAAUAAAAAUAGAAUAUAAAGCCUAUGUUUAAAACAUGGCCUUUAUUAAUGCUGUCUAGUGAGCUCCAUAUCUUACAUUGAAAGAGUUCUGCUUUGCUUAAGAAAAGACAGAAAAAGUGCAUUUACAAGAGUACUUUUUCUUUAAUUUUCUGCGAAAAUGGAAGGAAUUGGAAUCACAAGUUGACAAAUGUUGUAAAAUGAAAUUUCAAGAAACAUCAAUUUUAGUAAUGCUACGCCAUCACUAGUGUUUCGUUCUGACUUUCUGCCGUGUGAACCAGAAUAUCCUGAUAUACAGUCUAGAGCAUCUAUGUUAUUACUCUACAGCAUAUUAAACACAGAAAAAGGGGUUAAGAACCCCUUUCAAUGUACAAACAUGAAUAAAAAAAUUGAUAAAAAAA